UUAAAAUUGCUCUGGUGCACGUCUUUCAGAAUUUUUCAAGAUUUUCAUACACUUUUACUGCCUUCCUUGAAUUCACUCAACUGCAGUUCUCUACGAUAUUCCAGCAGAACAGCUGAUGGAACCCCGAGUAUGAGCCAUUUACAUCAUAGACACCUGCUGCUGCGGUCUGGAAAAAUAGCCACGACGUGCAAGCUUAUUUUGGUAACAGUAUUGUCACAGAACCAGUCUUCUAAAGAGAAUUCUUGCCACAGUGUUGAUGUACGUGUACAGUACAUGUAUCAUCAUUCGAGAGAGGAGAGUUCUCCAGAGACACAGGAGAAGUCACUGCAGGUUGAUGCUACCAGUUGCCUGAGGUCUCUACAAGUUGCUGAAGGUCACUGUUGGCCCAAAAUGUCACCUGACCAAAAUGAUGUGCACUGACAGUUCCACAGUGUGGGGUGCUUGAUGUCACCAGAGGUCACCGACUGCCACUGCUGAUUUGAUGAUGUGGGCAUUAGACAUUUGGAUUCUUCACCAGCAAUUGCCAUUCCAUAGUUUGGAUAUUGUGUAGUAAGAGCACACUCAGAACAGAACUGAUUGGGGCAGACCCCUCAAGUCAGACUAUACAUGUAGGUACAACUAGUGCUCGUCCUACAAGUUUGCAAACAGAAAACAGUCCUUUGUUGCCUGUAGCACUGAAGGACUUUACCCGUUUUGCUUCCAGCAGUAGGAUACUCAGAAAGGGAUAAGCGGAAUGAAUCAACUUGAGUUAGGCAGAUCUUAUUCUGUCAAGUUUGGUGUACUGUUAAUUGAUGCCAGUUACUCACAGAGGAGUUUCAGCUUUUACAAUGAAUGCUGCGGUACAUGUUUGUUUGUGCAUUCAUGUAUGUGCCUGAUUCAACUUGUCUUGUGAUGUCUCUAUCUACCAAACUGGAUAAUGCAAGAGCCAUCCACGCUAAGUAUAGAAGGAUGCUGUGUCAGCCUAGAUCAACCCCUUCUUUUUUGAGAUUUAGCAAGAUGGAGAGGCACUCACUUGCUCUAAAGCUGAGACCUAUCCAGCAAGCACACCAAGAGCCCUGUAUAAUACCUUCAUUGCACAAUUUGAUGUUAACUCUUGCGGGAUGUUCUGAGUGGUUUCUGCAGGUCUUCCACGUCUUAGUGACUGUGCAGAUGAGCUCAGCUUGGGCACAUGUCCUCUAGCAGAAUAGCAGACAAACCCUUCAACACAAUUCAUCUCUGCCCAUGGCUAUGAUACAUUCCAAGCUUGAAAGAGAGAGCAAGUUUGCCGAUAAGCCCUUUUAGACAGUCGUGUGAUGGAUGAUCUAUACCAUGACUUGUUCCAAGGAAGGAACAAAGUGUGCUUGGGAGAUGCAACAGUUGCUAAGUAGAUGCCAGGGAUGUGUGCUGCCACAGCCUACUGGGAUGUGAUGACAUGAAUGCCAUAAAUGAACUGACUCUUGGCAAUUUGAGGCAUAUACUGCCAUAGACACUCAAACACAGCAUGGAACUUGAACUCUUAGAAUAUGUCAAAGAGCACUUGACCUCUCUUGCCUGAGUGUCAUAAGGAAUCAUUAAGGUUUUCUUGGAUCACAAAAAAUCAUCCUUGGGUAGGCCCACUCUAAGUGAAGUAUUUCAAGGAUGAUCUUUACAAAUUGGUCAGAGCUUUGUAAUUUGUUCUUUCCUAGUUAAUGUGCAACAUUAUACCAUGAGCUGUAACAGACUGGUACCUCACAAUUGAUUGAAAAUGAAUGUAGACUGUCUGGUGGACUUCAUCCUUUCAAAAAGGAUUUUAAAAAUCUGGAAAUGGUUACCAAAUUUCACGGCAGCCAAGGGCAGGAGAGGUGGAGUAUUAGACACAGCUUGAGAUGGAAAGACAUUCACCUGAAAGGCAGCCAACAACCUCUUUGAAAACUUUCAAUUAUUUCCAUUUUUCAUACUUUCAUUCUUUUUUGUACUGGAAGUCGAUUUCGGUUCCAAUUCUUUGUUCUGUUCUAUAAAAAGUAACCCCCUAGGGACCAUUGAAAUCAUGCACAAAUUAACCCUAAACCCCCCCUCCCCGAGACCAUUGAAGUCCUGCAUAAACUUGUUGGGUUCUGAAUGGUUGGGGUUUAUUUGGGAAAAAAACUGAAAAAUUGAUGUUGCCUGCCUGAAGGUGUUGUCAAAAUGAUACCUUAAUAUCAAGUCAUUGUUAAGGUAACUUGGCUCUCACAAAACCAGCCUAUUCAGUGGAUUUUUGCUUUGGUUAGCAUGUUUUCAACCAACACGAAAUGUGUUAUCCCUUUUGAGAUGAAGUACAUUUACAUGUAUAAGGAGUCAUAUUUUACUUAAAUCAGAUUGAAAUAAGCGCUGUGCCACUUUGGCUUUCCAAACUUUGACUCCCAUCACAGAAUUUUGCUUAAAGAAAUCUUGAUCUAACAAAUUUCAGCAGCAACUUUACAAUGUUACAUCAUUUACAGAAUCUGUGGAUACAUGUAAUGCUUGCUGAUCCAAAAAUGUUUUGUGGGAGCCAAUUACAUUGUACGUUGAGCAUAUGAUGAACGGAAGUGAUUUUAACAAUGCCUGUGUGGUAAUAUUUUUGUUGGGUACAAGAUUAGUCAUCUGUCAUUGAAGCUAAUUUUUGGUGAACCUUCUUUUUUUUCUUGAAUGAAUCUCUGCACAUCUAAUGCUGAUAGAAACAAUCUGUUGUCUUAUUUUGCUGUUGCCUAAAGCAACAAAUAGUGGAGUUUGAAAGUCAAAUACAUGUGUAGAGUAUGAAUUCCUGAGGAUUUGACAAUUUACAUGUAACUAUAAAAAUCUACUUCAAAUUUGAAGUGGGAGCAACAAGCAAACAAAAGACAUUUUUUUUGUCAAACUUUCUCGCCACAUUCAACAAACAAUGAAAAAGGAGCCAUAUUUGAUUUUGCAAACUGUACAUGCUUGCAAUUAGCAAAACUUUGAGAAACGUUGCUGUUUUUAUUUAUUCUGAUUCAGAUUUCUAUUCAAAGAUUGAAAGGCAUUUUUUCAAAGAGUGUUCUAAGUACUUGUUGAAUGUUUCGAUGUGAAAUGUACAAUUUUUGAGUUAUCAACUCUGAUAUCAAAACAAAAUUUAUAUUUUUGUUCUCAUUGGGUCAUUUAUGAAGAUUACUCUUGAUUGCACAAAAGUACUUGUAAUUUAACUUACUUUCUCUCACAGUACAUGUGAUUCUAAACAUAUAUCUCCUUUCACCAGACUAGUCUUGUGCCCAUCGUAUUAUUAUGCAUUUCUGGUAUGAUCAGCAGCAGCACGUACCUAAAAUGUAAAAUCAUCCAUUCAGUUUGACUCUCAACCAGUACUUUGAGGAAAAGUACUGGUAACUCAAUUCCACAAAUUUCUUCAGGAUUCAAAUUUAAAGUUGUCAAUAAAUAUGUACAUAUGUAUUCCUGUUAGAGGAAUUUUGGGCGAAAAGUCCUAAAGUUCAAGCAGAUGUACAUAUUUCUUUCGAGGAAUCUUUCACAGGUGCAUCAUGGGGAAUGCCAAAUCUUAAUUACUCUCCCCAAUUCAUCGCUGCCAAAGAAAUGAUUGCAUGUCUCUAUCUCUGGUGCUGAUUGUACGAUUUAUGCCAUCAUAAAAAACCCAAUACAUGUAACAAUGUAUAACAAUCUAUUCAUGUUUCACCUACAGGCAUUCCAUCCUAAAAUCACUCGAAGCCCAAUGCAUGCAGGCCCCCCCUGCUGCACACCCGGGUGGUGUUCCCCGCCCUGCAGGCACCGACAGGCCUGGUGAGUCACCCCUGCUGUCUGUCAUCGGCUGGUGGUUGGCUGUUCUUUGUGUGUGCGCCUUCUUCCUGCUUCUUGUUGUCUGGGCGAUCAUGGAUACCUCAGUUGACUGCAAUGGGUAAGGAUCACUUGUGCUCUUACGGUUGGCUUGCUUUCCUUCAAAGGAGCUGGCAUCGAGGCUGCUUGUACGAUGUGUUACCGUGGCAACCAAUGAAUCCAUCCUGCACUCUUAGGAUUGCGAAUUGAGGGAUAACUCUUGCACCUACUCUUGAUCUGACACCCACAACUUCAGAUGUCCACAGUUACAUCGUGUUUUGAAUCAGACAGAGGAGGUGUUUACCCAUGCUAACUUUUUGUGAGUUAUCUCUGAUGUUUCUCAGUGUUGUGAAUUUUAGGACAAUUGUCGUAACUCCUGUUUGUGUUGAUAACUUCCUUGUGCAACUCCUAGAUCGAUCUGCAUUGUAUUGUGUUACCAUGUUCCUAAAAAACAUCUCAAAGAGAGAGCACUUGCAGUCAUUAACAUCAUUAACAAAAAGAAAGAGGUGUAGAUGGUUUAUUUUCCAAGCCAGGAAAUCUUUAGCUUUGAGCCAUCAGCUCAUAAAAACCAGCUAUUCUGAUUUUGGAAGCACACAUAAAUCUUUUGUAAAAUAUUCACUCAUAAAAUGGUUCUUGUAACUGAAAGAAACUGCAUUCUUAAUCUCAAAGCCAGUAUCCAAAAAGAGUCUUGCUGCCAUGGAGAUACUCUGAUUUGUAUUCACAAAUAAGCCAAAACUUUAUCUUUAAACCUGUUCCUGAUUGAGAAGCCGUUGCAAACUGAAAGUUAAUCUAAUAGAUUUGAAUUCACUCUCAAAGAAAGUGUGCCAGAGUAGUGUUUGUGAAAGGAUCUGAGGUGAAAAAGCAAUGUUAUUCAGAUGUAAACCAGUUGUUGAGAAAAAAAUGAAGUUGCAACGUUAGACCAAUUUUCAUUGGAAUAAAUCAACUUUGAGGAAUUGUUGUGCCAGCAUCUAUGUGAAUUAAAAAUGAAAUGCACUGCUCAUUGUAGCAGAUUUAAUGACUCCAAAAUACAUUCUUGUGUAUCAAAACGGGAAUAACAUGGUAAAAGGAAUGAGGGACAUCAUUAGAAAGGGCCAAACUCUUGAAUUUGUAAGGAGAAGUUGUGCAGAGAUUGGGAAACCAUACUGCCUCCUUGCCAGAUGAUGGAUGCGGUGGACAAGAUGCCCUCUGCAUCCUGACAAGAAGCUGUGGUGUCAGACACGGGGAGCCAGUCCUGCCUAAAGGCAUCCAUGGUAAGCUUAAUUGGAGUUUGGAGGAUCAAUUCAUGCACUGAUUGACAAGGUUGUACAUCCUCACAUCUUGCCCAUUGAACCCAAAGUCCCAAAUUGUGUGUCUCAUGGCUAGGAGUCAUGCUGCCUGUAUGUCUGUGUAAUAAGAUCCAAUGGCUCUGUGCAUGUAGUCUUCAGUCUUUGGCAAUACUGUGUGAUGAGGGCCCAUUUACACUGACGAGUGGCAACAGAAAAGUGGUUUGUUAUGCAAUGAGAAAGUUAUACACAGAGUGGAAAUCCAUUUGGUAUGCUGAUAGCUUCUGACCGUGCCAGUGAUCCCCAUAGGAAGAAUCAAAGACUCAAUGAACGCACGUCUACUCUCACUCCAACUGUCUUUUGGCCAGUCUGUGUUGUUAUACAUGUACCUAACAAGGGCACUGAUUGUCCAGAACACAUAGUUUCGGUGCAAAGAUCACUCAGGUUUCUGAAUCCAACAGUCUGUCAACCUCUUGUACGGGUUGUCUGCUCUCGAUAUCUGCCCUGAGUUGAAGUGCACCCUCACUGGCAAAAGAAAGACAGACUGGUAUAAUUUUUUCCAACUGGGUUCUUGCAUGCAUUCGGCGUGCACACAAAGACAGUAAAUUCCAAAAUAAGUUUGUUGCGGGUACUCUGCGUGCUCAACAUCAAAUGGGCAUAAACUUGCAUUCCUAUGCAGUGAGUUCAUACCAAAGGACUGUCCAUUUCAUUCAAAAACACACCCUCUUUUGUUCCUGCUCUGAGCGUAAAAACAGCCUCAUAGGAAUCCCUUGUGUGCGAUAUUUGUUACUGUGUGGGAUUCUGUUGUCACUUGUCUGUGUAAAUGGGCCCUUAGAAAGGAAAUGACUACCUGAAAGUGGACCUGAAUUGUAGUAGAAUGCCUUAUAAAGGCAUUGACAGUGAAAUUUGGUGAAAUUGCUGGCUUUUAGAGACAGAUACAGCUGCACUUGAAAUCUGCUCAGAGCUGUCUCAGUGAAAAUGUCACCGUGGAGUAUGUGAUUCAAUAUUCUCUCCUCUUGGCUUGUUUUCCAAACAUCUGGAAACUGACUGACUGGCUGAAUUCAAGCCAUUGGCAGUAGGGCUCUAAUGUGUCUCACUGUUGCAGCUAAAGACAAACCUGAUUGUCUGGACAGAGAGAAACAGCCUGUAUCAAGGUGCCAUCAGUGAUCAAGAAAGGCAUCACAUCAAAUGAUACAAGGCACAUCAAUGGAUAAAACUUCCACCCGUGUCAGAGUUCCAGUGAUCAUGAGUGCUUGAAUGCAGCACAGUGAAGUGCAAUGGCACAUUGUAAUGCCGUCUGCACCUGGGCCAUGAUAGCUCAAACUAUCAAGUGCUAGAAUCUGGAGAGCACAUGUACCCCAGUGGAUGCCAAGUAGCAUUCUUUGCUCUCUAGCAGAAGUGAAUAAAAGUCACAGAUUCUGUGAUGGUCAUUUGAUUUAUGUGAGUCACAGGUA